UACGUAGGGGGCAAGCGUUGUCCGGAAUCAUUGGGCGUAAAGCGCGUGUAGGCGGCUCGGUAAGUCUGCUGUGAAAGUCCAGGGCUCAACCCUGGGAUGCCGGUGGAUACUGUCGGGCUCGAGUCCGGAAGAGGCGAGUGGAAUUCCUGGUGUAGCGGUGAAAUGCGCAGAUAUCAGGAAGAACACCCGUGGCGAAAGCGGCUCUCUGGAACGGUACUGACGCUGAGACGCGAAAGCGUGGGGAGCGAACAGG
rnacentral:rRNA from 1 species